rnacentral:tRNA from 1 species
AGCUGGGAGAGCGCUUGCAUGGCAUGCAAGAGGUCAGCGGUUCGAUCCCGCUUACCUCCACCA